rnacentral:rRNA from 1 species
CCUACGGGAGGCAGCAGUCGAGAAUCAUUCACAAUGGGGGAAACCCUGAUGGUGCGACGCCGCGUGGGGGAAUGAAGGUCUUCGGAUUGUAAACCCCUGUCAUGUGGGAGCAAAUUAAAAAGAUAGUACCACAAGAGGAAGAGACGGCUAACUCUGUGCCAGCAGCCGCGGUAAUACAGAGGUCUCAAGCGUUGUUCGGAAUCACUGGGCGUAAGGCGUGCGUAGGCUGUUUCGUAAGUCGUGUGUGAAAGGCGCGGGCUCAACCCGCGGACGGCACAUGAUACUGCGAGACUAGAGUAAUGGAGGGGGAACCGGAAUUCUCGGUGUAGCAGUGAAAUGCGUAGAUAUCGAGAGGAACACUCGUGGCGAAGGCGGGUUCCUGGACAGUAACUGACGCUGAGGCACGAAGGCCAGGGGAGCGAAAGGGAUUAGAUACCCUGGUAGUC